CCCUUAGAUGUUCUGGGCCGCACGCGCGCUACACUGAUGCAUUCAACGAGCCUAUCCUUGACCGACAGGUCCGGGUAAUCUUUGAAUCUGCAUCGUGACGGGGAUAGAUUAUUGCAAUUAUUAAUCUUCAACGAGGAAUGCCUAGUAGGCGCAAGUCAUCAGCUUGCGUCGAUUACGUCCCUGCCCUUUGUACACACCGCCCGUCGCACCUACCGAUUGAAUGGUUCGGUGAAGAUCUCGGACUUCGAUAUUUGUUCUUCAUUGAACUUAUAUAGUGGGAAGUUAUCUGAACCUCAUCAUUUAGAGGAAGGUGAAGUCGUAACA
rnacentral:rRNA from 1 species